UUUUGCCGAAAGAUGGGCAUGGAACGUCGAGUCCUUACGUGAUUCUUGAUUUCUAUGGUCAAAGAAGAAAGACAAGAAGCAUUAUCUGUGACCUAAAUCCGGUAUGGAAUGAGACCGUUUCUUUUAAUGUUGGGAAGCCAUCUAGUGUUUUCGGUGACAUGCUUGAGGUGGAUGUUUAUCACGAUAAAAACAUCGGUCCUACUACUAGAAAUAAUUUCCUCGGUAGAGUUCGCUUGAAUUCCCGCCAGUUUGUUAGGAGAGGCGAGGAGGCUUUGAUUUAUUAUACUCUGGAGAAAAAGAAUUUGUUUUCUUGGAUUCAAGGUGAAAUCGGUUUAAAGAUUUAUUUUACGGAUCAUGAGCCUUCUCCGCCACCAGCACCACCCCCUCCCCCUCCACCACAGCAGGAAACUAAGUCUGAUCCACCACCACCAAUUGCAGAGGGAGCACCAGAAGCUGCAAAUUCUGAUCCGCCACAACCGGAUGGUGGCAAUCCAAGUGAAGCUGCGCCUCCACCGCCGCCUGCUGACGCCGUACCGCCACCUCCACCGCUGUCUGCUGACGCCGUAGCUUCACCUCCAGCUGAAAACGGGCCGUCAGCUGCUAAUGCUGGGGCACCAACAACACCGCCACUUGCUGAAGCUGCACCAUCGCCGCCGGCGAAUGUCACUCCUGAAGCUGAGCCCCUAGUCCAAGGAGCUAACAAUCCAGUGGAAGCUGCUUCAACACAAGAGGCACAAUUGGAUCCUCAUCAAAUGAAGGCAUCUAUAGAAUCAGGAUCAAUACCAGAAGUCAAAGUCGGUAGUACAUACGGUCCACGACCAAUCUCACGCGCUGCAUCAGUCAGUAGCUUCAUAUCAGACGCAUCAGACAACAUUUCAAUCGAACGUCCCUCAUUCGACCUUGUGGAGAAAAUGCACUACCUCUUCAUUCGAGUUGUCAAAGCUCGAUCUCUCCCUACUCCCGGCAAUCCGGUGGUCAAGAUUAUUGUAUCAGGUUCCCAAGUCACAUCCAAACCCGCUCGUAUAACCAUGUUCUUCGAGUGGGAUCAAACUUUUGCAUUCAGCCGCGACGCACCAGAUUCCUCUUCCAUCCUAGAAGUGUCAGUGUGGGACUCGCUAAUUUCCAGCUCGACGUCUGACGUGGCAGGUCAUAGCUUCUUAGGUGGCAUAUGCUUCGAUGUGACUGAGAUCCCACUGCGGGACCCACCGGAUAGCCCGCUGGCUCCGCAAUGGUACAGACUUGAAGGAGGUGGCGCCCAUAAAGGCGAUCUCAUGCUUGCCACGUGGGUUGGGACACAAGCUGACGAGUCAUUCCCAGAAGCAUGGAAGACCGACACAGCCGGUAAUCCCAGUUCACGAUCUAAAGUCUACCAAUCACCUAAAUUGUGGUAUUUGAGAUCAACCGUGAUUGAGGCCCAAGACAUAUCCGGGUUAGCGCCGUCAAGAGAUUCAUCCUUCCAAGUUAAAGCUCAGUUGGGAUUUCAAGUACAAAAGACUAAGCUAUCUCCCACACGUAACGGAUCUCCGUCAUGGAAUGAAGACUUGAUGUUUGUAGCUGCUGAGCCAUUUAGUGACAGCCAACUAGUAUUCUUUCUAGUGGAAUACCGGGAACCUAAAGAACAGGUUAUCCUAGGGGUUGCUAGCAUACCACUCACGUCCAUAGAGCGCCGUGUUGACGACCGGAAUGUGGUAUCAAGAUGGUUCACCUUUGAAGAUCCAAAUCAAGACAAGAGAGUAUAUAAAGGUAGGGUCCACCUAAGGGUAUGUUUCGACGGUGGAUAUCACGUGAUGGAUGAAGCUGCUCACGUGUGUAGCGAUUAUCGUCCGACCGCGAAGCAGCUUUGGAAACCCCCUGUUGGGACAGUUGAGCUGGGGAUCAUUGGAUGCAAGAAUUUAUUACCUAUGAAGACCAUCAACAACAAGGGUUCUACUGACGCAUAUGCAGUGGCGAAGUAUGGUAACAAAUGGGUACGCACUCGCACGGUGUGUGAUACCCUGGACCCGAAAUGGAAUGAGCAGUACACGUGGAGGGUUUACGAUCCGUCCACAGUGUUGACGAUUGGUGUUUUUGACGGUUGGGAAGUAUUCGAAUCAGACGGCCAGAGAGUGUCCACGCGCCCUGAUUUUCGGAUUGGAAAGGUACGCAUACGAAUCUCCACCCUAGAGACUGGUAAGGUGUACAAAAAUAUGUUUCCAUUGCUUUCGUUAUCUCCUGCUGGAUUAAAGAAAAUGGGUGAAAUAGAGGUGGCCGUACGAUUCGCACGUGCGACUCCCACGCUAGAUAUUUUGCACUUGUACUCGAUGCCUCUAUUGCCCAUAAUGCACCACAUCAAGCCUAUUGGUGUGAUGCAACAAGAGAUGUUGAGAUCCACGGCUGUUAAGAUCGUGUGCGCACACUUGUCACGAUCUGAGCCACCCCUUCCACGCGAGGUCAUAACGUAUAUGCUGGAUGCCGAUUCGCACGCGUUCAGCAUGCGUAAAGUGCGUGCCAAUUGGUUCCGAAUCAUCAACGUGAUUGCGGGGGUGAUUGAUAUCAUAAAAUGGAUGGAGGAGACGCGUUGUUGGAGGAAUCCGACUGCUACGGUGUUGGUACAUGCAUUGUUGGUGAUGCUGGUGUGGUUCCCUGAUUUAAUUAUCCCCACCUUGGCAUUUUACAUGUUUGUAGUUGGGGUGUGGAAUUAUAGGUUAAGGUCACGGGAGCCACUGCCGCACUUUGAUCCCAAGAUCUCAUUGGCGGAUACGAUUGAUCGGGAUGAGCUGGAUGAAGAGUUUGAUGNNNNNNNNNNNNNNNNNNNNNNNNNNNNNNNNNNNNNNNNNNNNNNNNNNNNNNNNNNNNNNNNNNNNNNNNNNNNNNNNNNNNNNNNNNNNNNNNNNNNAGUUUGAUAUUUUUUUAUUAUUAUAAUGUUGAGAUAUUGGACUACAUUAAAUAUAUUAUUCAUUUGUUCCAUCUUUAAUGUAAUAGUCAAUAUUUUAGUUUUUUAAAUUGAUUAAAAAAUCAUAAUUAAUAGUCAUUAUUGAGAAGAAGUUUCACUAGCCUUAUUUGUGGAAUAGAACCAUAUAUGUGUGUAUAUAUAUAUAUAUACUUUUUAAUCUCUCUCUCCGGCCCUUGGUCCAUACAAAAGUAUGGUCAGUUUGAAAAAGUAGAAGAGAAUCUUCAUCAACUAAAGGAAGGGAUUAAUAUUAUCAAUAUGGUAAUGAUUUAAAAUCAUAUAUAGGGGGAAUCAAAUGUUAACAAUUAAUAUGGUACCUAUUUUUGUUCAAAUUCUAUCACUUAUGUUAGUAACUAUUUUUGGUUUUUGAAUUAUGAUUCAUCUUAUAUUUAUUUACAUAUUUUGCGCCUAUAAGUUUUACAAUGUAUAGUAUGAAUAUAAGUUUGAAUAUCACUGCGCGCAAUUUAAUUUAUACUUAUAAUGCGCGUCUCUUUCUUCUUAGCAAUACAAAGACAAGCACGUAUAUAUACAUACAUAUAAUAUAUACUGUAAAAGCAGUGCGAAAGAAAACGAAAAAAGUGAAAAAGUAGAAUCUAAAUGCUGGAAAAGGAAAAUAUUAUCUUAAGAAGCAAUAAGUAAAGCAAUAUUAUUAAUUAAUAUAUAAGAAAAAGAAGGAUUUGAAUAAUUUGUAUUACUGGCCUAAGGCUAAGGCUGCUUGCUUGCACAUGAAGUUAAGUACCUUUCUUAUCUCCUGCCCUUUAUUUUCCACCUAAGAACUCCAUUAUACUCUUUCUAUGUUAUAUAAAACUACCCUUAAUUUCCCCUAACCCAAAAACCCUCUUUCUUCAAUUUCAUCCCAUAAAUUUCCCAAACUCCCCCCACCGUACGUAUUACUAGCUGCUACACAAAAUGUGACUAAACUUGAUCUCCUCUAAAACUUUUAAGAAUUAGAUAGCUAGCUAGCUGGGGAGUCGCUAAAUCAAUAUUAAUUAAUUGUUUCGCCCAGUUCUGUCCAAUCGAUCCAUCGUGUCAUGGCGGUAGGUAGUAUUCGAAAGUUAGUGGUGGAGGUGGUGGAUGCCCGUAAUCUUUUGCCGAAAGAUGGGCAUGGAACGUCGAGUCCUUACGUGAUUCUUGAUUUCUAUGGUCAAAGAAGAAAGACAAGAAGCAUUAUCUGUGACCUAAAUCCGGUAUGGAAUGAGACCGUUUCUUUUAAUGUUGGGAAGCCAUCUAGUGUUUUCGGUGACAUGCUUGAGGUGGAUGUUUAUCACGAUAAAAACAUCGGUCCUACUACUAGAAAUAAUUUCCUCGGUAGAGUUCGCUUGAAUUCCCGCCAGUUUGUUAGGAGAGGCGAGGAGGCUUUGAUUUAUUAUACUCUGGAGAAAAAGAAUUUGUUUUCUUGGAUUCAAGGUGAAAUCGGUUUAAAGAUUUAUUUUACGGAUCAUGAGCC
rnacentral:lncRNA from 1 species